CACUAAUAUACACAGUGUUUUGGGCAGGUCGUCCUCAGUAAUCCAGGAGUUCAAGCCUCUGUACGACCCUUAACCAAAGCAGACCUCGCCGGUUAACCAGUCUACACCAGGCGAAGAUACAAUGACUCCAGACCAAGGAUGCGUAUUGGGUGCAUAUAAUGAACUAAACUACCCCCAUAGAUAUGUGUGUUUUGUGGUCUAUCGUCUCCGUGCCGACUCUUAAUACCUCAACAUGGUUAAAAAGUACCUAACCCCUUCCAACUUUGAACACGGCAACUGCUUGUUUAACCAAUACUGACGCGCGCCCCCUCUAUUGGAAUAUACUGUACUUCGGGGUGAAGGAUCGAACAAGGCGCAGUUCGGCCAUGGACUCCUCACUAGGAAUAUAUAGCGGACUCCAGUGUGGUGUCCUCCCAUACGACAGCCAAGGAAUUAGUGUGUGGUGGUCUUCCCAGUAACAUCGAAGACAAACUUUGACGCACCUACAAGAUGUGCUUAUAGUCCAACUCCACCAACCACACACUCCUUUUGAGGAAUGUUAUGUUGUGGUCUGGAUAUAAACAUAUACCACGUCAGUUCACCAACAUCGUUGAACGCUCUCUGCCGCAGGAUGAGGCAACGAAGUCUUUGAAGUAGUGUACCACAUCAAAUUGUUUGGGUUUACUAUAUUAACCUGCAGUGUAAAAUGUAAUUCUUGUACUAUGAUUUUUGGAUUUGUACUCACUGGAUAUGUUCGCCCCCUUGAGAGACUUAAAGUAGAGUAG